rnacentral:tRNA from 1 species
AGGAGUGUGCUCCUGGGAGAGCAGGCAGCCUCCAAAACUGCCAGACAGGGUUCGAAUCCUUGCACUCCUG